rnacentral:rRNA from 1 species
UAUGUGAUCGUCUCUCGCAUAUCAAUAAGCGGAGGAAAAGAAACUAACAAGGAUUCCCCUAGUAACGGCGAGUGAAGCGGGAAGAGCUCAAAUUUGAAUCUUAAAGGGUUUCCCUUUACGAAUUGUAGUUUAAAGAAGUGUUUUCCGUUGAGGUCUUGGUAAAAGUUCUUUGGAAUAGGACAUCAUAGAGGGUGAGAAUCCCGUAUUUGACCUUUACUUUCAACUUUGUGAUACACUUUCAAAGAGUCGGAUUGUUUGGGAAUGCAGUCCAAAAUGAGUGGUAAAUUUCAUCUAAAGCUAAAUAUUGGCGAGAGACCGAUAGCGAACAAGUACCGUGAGGGAAAGAUGAAAGGAACUUUGAAAAGAGAGUUAAACAGUACGUGAAAUUGUCAAAAGGGAAGCGUUUGACACCAGUGUUGUUUUUCUGAAAAUCAAUUAAAGAACUGUUUAUGCUAAGCUGUUUAGACUUUAUCAGCUAUCUGCUUAGUUUUGAGCUUUUCUUUAAUGCACUUUUCAGUUAGCAAGUCAACAUCAAUUUCUUUUGCUGUAAAAAAGCUUGAGGAAGGUGGCUUGAGAUUCGUCUUAAGUGUUUAUAGCCUCUUGCCUAUGCAGUCGGAGAGAUUGAGGUCUGCAGCGUAGAUCCUUCGGGGCUAAAUGCAUUUGUGCUAAGUUAUAGCAUUUUAUAGACAACUUGUUGACUAUGAUUUGUCUUGUAGCUUACUCGCUUAUGUUAUUUUACCUACGCUUAGGAUGUUGAUCUACAGAGCGAGAGU